rnacentral:lncRNA from 1 species
UCAAUCAAACUCUUGGUCUUCUCAUUUUAUAUUUAGUUUUAAAUUGUAACCAAGAGAUAUGCUCAUUACCGUGUCACCAACAUUUUACUAUAAUCUGGCAAUAUCUAAAAGUAUUUGGUUAACCUUCAUCGGGUGGAACUAUUACCCCACCAACACUUAUGAACCCAGAAAAGAAAAUUCUCCAAGCCCAAGCAGUUGCUAAUUAGAUGCGAAAUAGGUGAGUCGUUUGACUAUUUGACGAAGUGUAACCGGUUUGACGACAUUACCGUGACCCUCAGAUAUUUUUGUGCUGUUGCACACAAAGUUUUGUAAAUACCUUGGAUUAUUUGUAGCAAUUUUACUGCAAGAUGGCCAAGCAAACCGCCGAACAAUCUAGGAAAGAUAUGUUGAGUAAGAAAAAAGAAAGAGAACGUGCAAGAAGACAGAAAUUAAGAACAAUCCGGAAGAAUAUGAAAACCAAAGACAGAAAGAAAAGGAGCGUUACCAGAAAAGGAAAAGCGAAGGAAAAAUUAAACUUAUUUGCGAUUUAAGUGACAGAGAUAAAAGAAAAAAACGAAAAACAUGGAUACAUCAUGAUAGAACAUACAGGGAAAAAAGAAGAAAGUUAAAUGAUAUUGAAAACGAAGCUCUUUGCAAUACUCCUACACCAUCAGUGGUUGACAUAAAUGAUGACCAAAUUGUAGAGAAUGCCUUUCCACAAACUGAAAUUAAUUUAAGAAGGAAAAUAUCCCGUCUAAAGAUGAGGGCACACCGGGAAAGACUUCGACAAAAACAAGAAAUAGAAAGGCUUAAAAAUGAGAAUAGGAAGCUAAGAUCCAGGGCAUUGAAAGAAAAAAUUGCAGCACAAUAUAGAAGUCCAAAUGACAAAACUAAUACGGAAGAAUUUCCUUUGCCAGAUUUGACUCCCAAUACAAAAAAUCAACGUUACUCUUGAAAAGGCUGGAGUUGUAGUUCCCAACAGUAUUAAAAAGGAGUUAGUUUUUGGAGAGUGUCUAAAGCAGCAAUUAAAUGCAAAUUUUAAUAGUACUAAAGGUCAUCGUUCAAAACAAGUAUUUACUGAAGUAGUAGGAGGAGGCAUUCUUAAAAAAUAUGGAGUAACAUGUAAGCUUAAUAUGUCGCAAUAUCUAAGCACGUCAUUGCCAAGUCGCAAAAAAAAAGAGAGUCAAUGUAAAGAUAAAUUCUGUGAAAAGAGAUGUUAUACAAUUUUUCGAAAAUGAUGAUAACAGUGGUCUGUGUGCGGGACACAUUAAACCUAAUGAAUGGGUGGCUGUUCUGUCUAAUGAUUUCUGGUAUCCGGGAGUAGUUUUAUCUCUGAAGCGUAAGUGUUUGGAAAUUCAAUUUAUGGACAGAAAAGAUGGAUUUUUUUUUUGGUAAAAAAAGCGUGACAUCCAAUUUAUUCCAUGUACUGAAAUGUUGUGUAAACUGUCCAAGCCACCUGUGCAACGCUCUGCCUGAGUCUUUGUUGUUCCGGAGUCUAAAAUUAUAGACGAAUUGGUUUAAUUUUAUUCUACAUAUUUAGUUUGUUUUAUGUGCAAUUUUUAUUUUUAAGUAUUUGAUUGCAUUAUGAUUUUUAGUUUUUUGUAUAAAAAUUUUUGUGACUUAGUGAAAAAAUACUUACUGCUAAUAAUAUUGAAAAAAAAUCAGUUCUUAAAGAUCAAAAAAUCGCACAUUUCCAAAUUUUAUUAUCUUUGGACAUUACCAUGACACCAAUUUAACAUUGCCAUAUGUCAUCUGUACAUUACCGUGUUUGACAAAUCUCAUUACCGUGUCAUUUUUUAAUUUUUUUUUGAAAAAUAUGAGUACAUAUUUUUUUUUAAAUAAUUUUAAUAAAAUUUGUAUAUUUGCACCAAAAUAAAUUAUAAAAGUAAUUUAUUUGUAAACUUUCCAAUGUAAUACUCAGUUUUCGUUAUUUUUUGAGAAUGACCCAUAUAUGUAGAUGAGCAAAGUAAUAAGUGUAUAUGUAAAUAUGUAUAUUACUGUAAUAUACAUAUUUAUUAUACCGCAAGGUUGCUGCUGCUAGUUCUCUUUAAAAACAUACAGACAUACCGAGCGAUAAGAAAUAUUCACUUCAAAAGGUUGGGUACUACGAAACUUGCAAUAAAAAAUAAAGUAAAAUAAACGUUUUAUUCUGUAAUAAACAAAAGUACGUAAUUCAAGUUAUACAAAUUUGCCACUUUUAUGGUCCAGUGUCACUUCCGUGGAUGAAGCUUUCCCUCCUUGUUAUUUUUCUAGACAUAUUAAAAAGAGCUAAACCUCCUAAGUAGAAGAUACCGUGGGACAGUGCACCUUUAGUCUUAGACUAUUUGAUUCAUAUUAGAAGAAGAAGAUGAGAACUCACCGAUAAAUCAGUUAUACGAAAAUAAUUGUAGUCGAAGCAGGAUAAAAGCGAGACAAUUCGGAAGAUAAAAAAAAUUCAGAAACUAAGCGGAAAAUUUAAACAUAAAAGUUAAAUAGAUAAAGAAAAAUCACAACGGUGGCAUGGAA